rnacentral:rRNA from 1 species
CAAUAGCGUAUAUUUAAGUUGUUGCAGUUAAAAAGCUCGUAGUCGGAUUUUGGCUGAGAACGAUCGGUCCGCCGUUAGGUGUGCACUGAUUGGUCUCAGCUUCCUGGUGAGGAGGUGUGCUUCACGGCCACUUAGUCACCGUGGUUACUUUGAAAAAAUUAGAGUGUUCAAAGCAGGCCUACGCUCUGAAUACAUUAGCAUGGAAUAACACGAUAGGACUCUGGCCUAUCUUGUUGGUCUGUAGGACCGGAGUAAUGAUUAAGAGGGACAGUCGGGGGCAUUCGUAUUUCAUUGUCAGAGGUGAAAUUCUUGGAUUUAUGAAAGACGAACUACUGCGAAAGCAUUUGCCAAGGAUGUUUUCAUUAA